rnacentral:RNase_P_RNA from 1 species
GGGUUCGGUUGACUCUGCCGCCUCACUUGUGGGGAGGAAAGUCCGGACAACAUAGGGAGCCACACUUUUUGAAAGGAAAGGCGCGUUCAACGGAACGUGACAGACAGUGCCACAGAGAUUCAAACCGCCGAUGGCCUUCGGGCACAGGCAAGGCUGAAAAGGUGAGGUAAGAGCUCACCAGCGUAAGGGUGACCUUGCGGCUUGGGUAAACCUUGUGGGUUGCAAGACCAUGUAAACUGGCGUUCGAAGGCGUCCCGCUUGAGCCAGAGGGUAGGUCGCGUCAGAUCAAUGGCAGAGCCCUUCGGGGAACAGAAUCCGGCUUACACCGUGUUUUGAA